UCCUGGAAGAGGGCCGCG
rnacentral:misc_RNA from 1 species